ACAGCCUAGAGAGCAGAGAGACUAACUACAGGUCAAAUACAGCCUAGAGAGCAGAGAGACUAACUACAGGUCAAAUACAGCCUAGAGCAGAGAGACUAACUACAGGUCAAAUACAGCCUAGAGCAGAGAGACUAACUACAGGUCAAAUACAGCCUAGAGAGCAGAGAGACUAACUACAGGUCAAAUACAGCCUAGAGAGCAGAGAGACUAACUACAGGUCAAAUACAGCCUAGAGAGCAGAGAGACUAACUACAGGUCAAAUACAGCCUAGAGCAGAGAGACUAACUACAGGUCAAAUACAGCCUAGAGCAGAGACUAACUACAGGUCAAAUACAGCCUAGAGAGCAGAGAGACUAACUACAGGUCAAAUACAGCCUAGAGAGCAGAGAGACUAACUACAGGUCAAAUACAGCCUAGAGAGCAGAGAGACUAACUACAGGUCAAAUACAGCCUAGAGCAGAGAGACUAACUACAGGUCAAAUACAGCCUAGAGAGCAGAGAGACUAACUACAGGUCAAAUACAGCCUAGAGAGCAGAGAGACUAACUACAGGUCAAAUACAGCCUAGAGAGCAGAGAGACUAACUACAGGUCAAAUACAGCCUAGAGCAGAGAGACUAACUACAGGUCAAAUACAGCCUAGAGCAGAGAGACUAACUACAGGUCAAAUACAGCCUAGAGAGCAGAGAGACUAACUACAGGUCAAAUACAGCCUAGAGAGCAGAGAGACUAACUACAGGUCAAAUACAGCCUAGAGAGCAGAGAGACUAACUACAGGUCAAAUACAGCCUAGAGAGCAGAGAGACUAACUACAGGUCAAAUACAGCCUAGAGAGCAGAGAGACUAACUACAGGUCAAAUACAGCCUAGAGCAGAGAGACUAACUACAGGUCAAAUACAGCCUAGAGAGCAGAGAGACUAACUACAGGUCAAAUACAGCCUAGAGAGCAGAGAGACUAACUACAGG